GGAAAAGAAACUAACAAGGAUUCCCCUAGUAACUGCGAGUGAAGCGGGAAAAGCUCAAAUUUGAAAUCUGGCGGUCCUUGGCCGUCCGAGUUGUAAUCUAGAGAAGUGUUACUCGCGCUGGACCGUGUACAAGUCUCCUGGAAUGGAGCGUCAUAGAGGGUGAGAAUCCCGUCUCUGACACGGACUCCCAGGGCUUUGUGGUAUGCUCUCAAAGAGUCGAGUUGUUUGGGAAUGCAGCUCAAAAUGGGUGGUAAAUUCCAUCUAAAGCUAAAUAUUGGCGAGAGACCGAUAGCGAACAAGUACCGUGAGGGAAAGAUGAAAAGAACUUUGGAAAGAGAGUUAAACAGUACGUGAAAUUGCUGAAAGGGAAACGCUUGAAGUCAGUCGCGUUGGCCGGGGAUCAGCCUCGCAUUUGCGUGGUGCACUUUCCGGUUGACGGGUCAGCAUCAAUUUCGGCCACUGGAAAAAGUCCUGAGGAAUGUGGCAGCUCCGGCUGUGUUAUAGCCUCUGGUUGCAUACAGUGGUUGGGAUUGAGGAACUCAGCACGCCGCAAGGCCGGGUUUCGACCACGUCCGUGCUUAGGAUGCUGGCAUAAUGGCUUUAAGCGACCCGUCUUGAAACACGGACCAAGGAGUCUAACAUGCCUGCGAGUGUUUGGGUGGAAAACCCGAGCGCGUAAUGAAAGUGAAAGUUGAGAUCCCUGUCGUGGGGAGCAUCGACGCCCGGACCAGAACUUUUGGGACGGAUCCGCGGUAGAGCAUGUAUGUUGGGACCCGAAAGAUGGUGAACUAUGCCUGAAUAGGGUGAAGCCAGAGGAAACUCUGGUGGAGGCUCGUAGCGAUUCUGACGUGCAAAUCGAUCGUCAAAUUUGGGUAUAGGGGCGAAAGACUAAUCGAACCAUCUAGUAGCUGGUUCC
rnacentral:rRNA from 1 species